rnacentral:lncRNA from 1 species
GAAAGGAGGGGGGAGGGAGAGUUUGCAAUCAACAAAGCUGAAAGGAACUGGAGAUCUGAAGAGUGCUUUGACAUCUGACAUGCAGAUGAAUAAUUUGAGUUUGCCCAGCUGCUUUUUGGUCAUGUUUUAGUCCAGCAUCUCCUCACAGUGCUCCUCUUCCUCCCUUCUGGAACAGUAGUGCAUAUCCUGUGCCACUCAAUACUGGAAGUAUGUGAUCUGCCUUUUCAUCUUGAUUUUAUGAGGGGUUACAGUUAAGAGACUGCCACGAGUCUCAGAAGAAAUUCUGGACUUGUAAGCAGUCUAUGAAGACUUGUCAAGAGAUGGUGAAAGACUAUGGGGACUUCGGAAGUUGAACUGAAUGCAUUUUUUACACUAUGAUAUGGUUAUAAGCCAAUGGGGCCCACGUGAUAAUGGGCCUUCUGAAACUGUAAGCAAGUCCCAAAUUAAAUGCUUUUCUUUAUAUGAGUUCAUUGAUCAGAACAGUGACUAUGACAGUAAGAGUGGCCUGGGUCUCUAAUUACCUCCACCUUUGUCCCCAAUCCUACCAGUGACUGACCUAUGUGGCAAGAACUCCAGCUAAUUUUGAACUUAAAUGUCCUUGGUGGGUAAGCCCACAAAAAAGCAUCUUAAAAGUUAGUCCGUUUUCUUAUCUCUGUUCUCACAGCACUGCAGCAUUGACUAGUCUCUGGUCCCUGAUUUUACUAUUAUUUUUCUAGGUUCCAUUUUCUAUAUUCUAGUCCCAUAAUUCAAAUUAUUCUCCCAAAUAAGUUUAUGGUCACUCUUCCUCAAGACUUAAUCUUUUUAUUUGGUGUCUUGGUAGGUAAUGACAACCUGAGCGUCGAGAUACUCCAUCUGGUCUCUCGUUCCAAAAUCAACACUCUCCAUGUUCAGCACCAAUUUUUUUUUUAGCUUUCACAUGUCAUGGUAGACAGUCACAGUAAGAUGGAAAAGUUGGAAAUAAUGGCAGGAUUUCUUCUAGUCUUCAUUAUUCUGAGCUAGUGGCAGAUUACUAUGUUUUUAGACUCAGCUUUCUUCAAUCUGACCAAUUUAAAAAGCUGAGGAAUUAAUUACUAACACCAUUUGAAAAGCAGGCUGAAACUUGCUACAAUGAAGCUGAACCAGUUCACCCUCCCUGCUAAGGUGGCAAACAAAACAGCAUGUUGAGGCAAGAGUUAGAGGACCUUAAAACCAAAAGGGAGACUGAGUCAUUCACAGUUCAAGGGUUGCACACACUAGAGAAUUACUAAGAGGUGAGUAAUCCCAAACCUCUUUUUAGCUCCAUACUGCCUCUUAAUAUUUACACUUACACACACACACACACACACACACACACACACACACACACACACACACACACACACACAAUUUGCCACAGCCUGCUCUAGGAGUUACAGAACUUGUUUGGCAAUGAAGGUCAAGGCUACUUGGUUCAAUCCCCUUCUCGCUGAUCAAGGAUCAAGAAUAUGGUUCUUCUUAAUGUUGCUUUGCUGAGGGCCUUGCCCUUGCCCUUUUCUUGAAUAAAAAUGUUGCUUG